GACGAACGCUGGCGGCGUGCUUAACGCAUGCAAGUCGAACGGAAAGGCCCUGCUUUUGUGGGGUGCUCGAGUGGCGAACGGGUGAGUAACACGUGAGUAACCUGCCCUUGACUUUGGGAUAACUUCAGGAAACUGGGGCUAAUACCGGAUAGGAGCUCCUGCUGCAUGGUGGGGGUUGGAAAGUUUCGGCGGUUGGGGAUGGACGCGCGGCUUAUCAGCUUGUUGGUGGGGUAGUGGCUUACCAAGGCUUUGACGGGUAGCCGGCCUGAGAGGGUGACCGGCCACAUUGGGACUGAGAUACGGCCCAGACUCCUACGGGAGGCAGCAGUGGGGAAUAUUGCACAAUGGGCGGAAGCCUGAUGCAGCAACGCCGCGUGCGGGAUGACGGCCUUCGGGUUGUAAACCGCUUUCGCCUGUGACGAAGCGUGAGUGACGGUAAUGGGUAAAGAAGCACCGGCUAACUACGUG
rnacentral:rRNA from 1 species